CUUUAAUGUUAUAUUAGAUAACUACUAACUUUAGAACUUUGACUAACAAAUUUCACUUCAUUAUUUACUGGGUCCAUUCACUGGGGUCACUUUUGGGACAAAAUAGCAUCCCGUACCGAUCAAUUUAACCCUUCAAAGCAUUACAUUUAUAGAGACGUGUCCAGCAAUAACUUUGUGCAUUAUGAUAUAUUGGAGUCUUGCAUGACA